AGAGUAUUCAAACACGCCAGGGAUACAGAGACAUACAGACAUCCAGGGGAGGACUCCUAAAGCUUACACUCACCAAGGUUCUGGGACUACCUUCAACAUACUGACCUAUCUAUCAUAGCCCCCUAGGGGACUGGUCUCCCCAGAAAUCUGUGUCCAUUACCUGCCCCCAUGAUUAUCUAGGUGGUUUUAAGUGCAAUAGCAGAUUUCUUUGCUAUACCUACCUGCCAAAAUCACCAGGGGAACGACUUCACUAUAAACCCUGCGGUUCUGACUCCCGCAGGGGGUUAAGCUGCAGCUCGGACAAGCUUCCACCUUGUGACCAUUUCUAUCUCCUCCCCCCCCCCCUUUGUUGUAUCCCAUUUGUCUUCGCUGACAUGGUUUGUUACUCCACAAUUGUUGGUGAGCAUGCAUCUAUUAUUAUUACUUUUUACUGUUUUGUAUUAAUAUAAGAAUACAUUUAUCCUAUGCCCGUUAAACAUUAUAUGUGAUUAAUUUGUUUUCUUGUUUCACAUAUUAUCAGAUGAGAAUGUAUUGUAGAUGAAUGUGGCGCCCAGAAGACGCUCCCUUUUGCGAAACAUGUCGGCGACUAGCAUUUAACUCAUCUAACUUUCAUGUGCAUCUCGUCUGUAACAGGGCAACCAAUGAUUGUAUCAUUGCAUUCUAAAUGUUUUCUUUUAUGUAUUUAAAUAAAUGUUGAUAUUUUUCUAUACAAAUGUUAUACCUGGUAUCAUUGGCUCACCUACCCCUGACACGACAUACUAUAGAGUCCUAUAUCACUGAUGCGGUUUCUAUACC